rnacentral:rRNA from 1 species
GAUGAACGCUGGCGGCGUGCUUAACACAUGCAAGUCGAACGAGAAGUGAAGACGGAAACCUUCGGGCGGAAGGCUUUAUUUCGAGUGGCGGACGGGUGAGUAACGCGUGGGUAACCUGCCUCAUACAGGGGGAUAACAAUUGGAAACGACUGUUAAUACCGCAUAAGACCACAGCACCGCAUGGUGCGGGGGUAAAAACUCCGGUGGUAUGAGAUGGACCCGCGUUCGAUUAGCCAGUUGGCGGGGUAACGGCCCACCAAAGCGACGAUCGAUAGCCGAUCUGAGAGGAUGACCGGCCACAUUGGGACUGAGACACGGCCCAAACUCCUACGGGAGGCAGCAGUGGGGAAUAUUGCACAAUGGGGGAAACCCUGAUGCAGCGACGCCGCGUGAGUGAAGAAGUAUUUCGGUAUGUAAAGCUCUACCAGCAGGGAAGAAAAUGACGGUACCUGAGUAAGAAGCCCCGGCUAACUACGUG